ACUAUGCGCGUCCGUUACCACUUACCAGCACGUUGCCCGUGCCUUGCCCCCCCUCCCAAGCGAGCGACUGCGGGCAGUCCUGACUUCUCCUUCCAAUGCCCUUCUGGAAACCGCCGACCUUUCCCUUCCUCUUCCUCUUCCCAGCUUCCCGCUCCUCCUUUUGCUCUCUCACCUUCCCUGCGAUCCCAUCUCUCUCUCAUUUUGCUCUCCAUCUAGGAUUGGCCGCAUGGGCGCAUGGCCACGACAGGGAAUCUCCGAGCUCAGACUGCCGGCCGGUCACCGCCCUCCCGUCACACUAGCUUCUCCUCUUGCGUCUGCCGCAGCCUCCGCCGGUGAGCACGGUCCGUCCACCCCUCCGUCAUCCUUGGUGGCGAGAACUCUCUGUUGCUGUUCCUAUAUAUGUGUGCUUCAACUUUAUCUCCAUCCCCUCACCAUCUACUGUAUUUCUUUCCUUUUUUGUUUAGUGUUCUGAUUUUUGAGAAGCUCAUUGGGUAUAUUUACUUGUGACUUGUGUAAGGGGAAAGGCAACACUGACUGUAGCAUAAAAAUUCAAUAUCUUUUUCUAUACCGCAAGUAGCAUAAAAACGCAACAUCUGUUAAGCUUCCGAGCAGCUCAUUGAGUAUUUAUUUGUGACUUGUGUAAGGGGAAAUACAAUACUGACUGUAGUAUAAAAAUUCAGUAUCUUUUUUUAUACCGCAAGUAGCAUAAAAAACUCAACAUCUGUUCAGACGGAUUUCUGUUUUUAUAAUGCAAGUAGCAUAAAAAUUCUAAUACAUGUUUUUUUAACACAGCUCACAAUAAUCCCUAUGCACAUGUGCAUGUUAAUUCCUCUCUUAAGAUUUCAGUUCACAGUACUGUUUCAUCCCUUUGAUGCAUUACUCAUCUUGGUACUUGGUGUUUUAGUAGCUUUUGUCAAAGCCGUGGUGGUGCGCCAAUGUUUUUUCUUUUCCAGUAGGAAACAUAUUGUCUUCCUCCUUCCAUCCAUUACAAACCAGGUAUCCCUAUCCAGUUCUGAGAUUAUCCGUAGCUUAAUGUUUGUGAUCUCAGGGGUUUUCCUAGCUGUAUUUCGAAUCAUUUUUCUUGAUCUGAUUCUUAAUCAUGCAAUCAGCAUAGCCUCUACAGCUCUACAUGAUCAAAUGAUUAAGUUGUCUUAAAUACAAAUUCAGGGUUUUUUUAGCUGUAGUUAAAUGAUGAUUUGGGUUAUCUUGUUUUAGCUGUAGGUAACAAACACAGAACUAAACGCUAACCAAAAUGUGUAUCUUCAGUUUUUGUAUAUCCACAACCAGGUUUUUAUUUUACCACAUCCACAGCCAGGUUUGCAUAACUAUCUUUUUCUCCUUUGUUGUCUGGCUGCAUUUCUGAUACUCGAUGUUGACACAGCUUUGAUAGUUUUAGUAAAUCAUUAUUGUACAUUCAUUUCCCACAGUAUGCUCUUUAGCUUAUUAUUGUUUGAAGGAGAGCAACAAAAUGCAGAAGACAAAGAUGGAUCUGGGUAAAGCAUUCUGAAUCACUUCUCCUCUGUCUGGCUGGCAUCGCCAAUUUCUCUGCUAACCCCGUUAGUUUGCACCUCCUGCCCCUCCUCACACUGCUCUCUCCGCUCUUCUUUUAUUUCUUCCACUUUCUGUGAUCUGCUAUACUGCUAAAAUCCUAAAACUUAAUAGUUCCAUUGCUUGCUUCAAUUUGGCGUCUGACACUUAGGAACUGAUUAGCUGAGGUCAAUAGGUGCACAACUCUGAAGUUAUCCAUUACUAUUGCAGGGUCUUCCGUUAUGGUAAAUUGAAAUUUUGUUUCAUUUUUUUUAAUCACCACUGUCUUGCUCAUAUCUCUAAAUUGUAAACCUGGUUGCAUAGGACAAGCACACCUUUAUCAGUAAUUUAUACAAACGAAAUGGAUGCUCUGUGCUAGACUCGGUUUUCAUCUUUCUUAGAGUGGUCCAAUCCUAUAGACAUGUCACCGAGCUGAAAUUACAUCUUCGCUUCAUUGAUAUUGUUGGUGAUUUUGCCACUGAUAUUGCAUGGCUUUAGUUUCCUGUACGGACUGCUGAGAACUGGGAAGCCAUACUUGACAGCACUAUGGCAACAAAGGCCAGUUUCACAUUCUUUAGGUGAUCGAUUGUUUAGUUACAUAUGUAGUUUACUUUCUUAUUAAUGGUCAAACCUGGAUAACCAUGUUAUUAUAUUUCUAUAGUGCAGCAAGGGUACUCCUAUCAGUUUUCCAGUGAUGUGUAGUUCAUGCUUGGUUUUGAAGCAAUAAAAGUGAGUGGUCAUCUGACAAUUGGUUUUUGCUUCAAAGUUGAAAAAAAUAGUUAGGUAGUUAAUGGCUUAAUGCACCAGAAUUUCUGGUUUGUUUUUGUUUUUAUGGUAAGUUAAUGUCCAUAGAAUUUGAUAUUCUUAAUGAGUGAAUAUUGCUUUCAAGAAUGUACUAAAAGUAGGAAACUUGCAAUGAAGUAUAUAUUAACAUCUGAAAUUUAAUUAUGUAACAAUUUGUCUGCCCCUUUCUAAAUUUUACUAGAGAAUUUGGAUUGCAAAUUUCAGUGUAGCUACAUGGAUUCCACUAGGGACAGGAGAUGCGUUAUUAUUUUACUUGCCAUAUCAGUCAUAUGCAUUUUACGGAAAUGUUGGUGCUUCAUGUAAAAAAUAAGAUGCCAAUGACCCGGCGGGCGGUAAGCUCCAAGUUUGUGUCACUUAUGUUCCAUUAGUCUUAAAGAAGUACUAUUCGUAUCUUCAUAGUCUGAGCCAUUAGUCUUAAGGCAGUACUAUUCAUACGUUGAUUGCAGGAGAUUAUAAGUCUCUUGUUCGUUAGGAGAUUACUCUGAAGCCAUGCAUAAUUGUUUUAACUACUAUUUUCUCGGUCCCAAAAUAAGUGGAGCUCUUUUACAGUACCCUUAUAUUAAUAUGGACCAUCCAUUCCAUUCCAUCCAAGGGCUGCAAAUUACUUGUACUCCAAGGCAACAACUAGGGAGUGCCACCGAUAAAUUUCAGGGAGUGCCAAAUCUCAAAGGAUCUUGAGUAACACUACUGCAGCGCGCAAGGGACGAUUGCCGGUGGAAGAUGAGCGAGCACCUGGGAUCGAGAGUAUCAUUGGUAUUCUCGAGAUAAUCGCAGUUGAUAAGAUAGUCCGGUUGGCUGACGUUCAGGGAGGAGCUGCUCCUCGGCGGGGCGAUCAAAUUGAUUAGGGAUUGAAAGUCAGUUAGGAAUCUACAGAUUCUGUAGCGGUGAGAAAAUGUCUAAUUUGCCCCUAAUAAUGAAGGGUCAAAUUUAAUUGGUACUCCCAGUUAGAUAAUUGGAGUACCAAGGUACCGUAAAAAAUCUCAAUAACUGACAUGUAUUUGUAUAAGUAUACAAAUCCACGUCACGUGGGAUAGAGGGAAUAUUACUUUGGGUCAACUAUUUGGCCUACUUUGUUAUCCAUAAUUAAUUGGUUUGGUUAUUUACUUUGUUAUCCAUAAUUAAUUGUUUUAACUACUCUUAAUUUGGGUCACCUAUUUGGCCGUUAUGUUGAUAACAUGAAAAUAAAACGGGAAGGAUGUGCUCAUCCAUGCGAGUCGAACCAUAUAAAAAAUCCUUCUUUUCAAGUCUGCGGGGACAUAUCUUGUUAUGGCUUCUUAACAUAUUUUCUUCUAUGUUUUCUAUUUACCAACGCAUGCAGCACGGAAGGAAGGAGAUGGGAUGCCAAUCAACAUAAGGGGAGAAAGGAAGAGAAAUAGAAGGAUUGCAUUGCUAUUGUGAACCAAACCGUAUUUAGUCUUCCAGAAAGAUUGUACUGUUUUAUUUAUUGUUUGAUGAAUGGAAUGGAUGCCAUCUUCACCGCAUAAAUGAAAAGAUAUAUGGAUAAAUAUUUUCCUGCA